rnacentral:rRNA from 1 species
GAUGAACGCUGGCGGCGUGCCUAACACAUGCAAGUCGAACGGAACUUUUACGGAUUGAGACUUCGGUUGAUUGAGGUUUAAGUUUAGUGGCGGACGGGUGAGUAACGCGUGAGUAACCUGCCUUUCACAGGGGGAUAACGUUUGGAAACGAACGCUAAUACCGCAUAACAUAGCGAGACCGCAUGAUCUUGCUAUCAAAGAUUUUAUCGGUGAAAGAUGGACUCGCGUCCGAUUAGGUAGUUGGUGAGGUAACGGCCCACCAAGCCGACGAUCGGUAGCCGGACUGAGAGGUUGAACGGCCACAUUGGGACUGAGACACGGCCCAGACUCCUACGGGAGGCAGCAGUGGGGAAUAUUGCACAAUGGGCGCAAGCCUGAUGCAGCAACGCCGCGUGAGGGAAGACGGUUUUCGGAUUGUAAACCUCUGUCUUUGGUGACGAAGAAGUGACGGUAGCCAAGGAGGAAGCCACGGCUAACUACGUG